rnacentral:rRNA from 1 species
AUUGAACGCUGGCGGCAGGCCUAACACAUGCAAGUCGAGCGAGCGGCGGACGGGUGAGUAAUGUAUGGGGACUGCCCGAUAGAGGGGGAUAACUACUGGAAACGGUAGCUAAUACCGCAUCCCAUCGGAUUGCCCAGAUGGGAUUAGCUAGUAGGUGAGGUAACGGCUCACCUAGGCGACGAUCCCUAGCUGGUCUGAGAGGAUGAUCAGCCACACUGGAACUGAGACACGGCCCAGACUCCUACGGAGGAAGCAGUGGGGAAUAUUGCACAAGGGGCGCAAGACUGAUGCAGCCAUGCCGCGUGUGUGAAGAAGGCCCUAGGGUUGUAAAGUACGUUAAGUCGGGAGGCGUUACCAACAGAAGAAGCACCGGUUAACUCCGUGCCAGCAGCCGCGGUAAUAC